rnacentral:lncRNA from 1 species
CUGUCCCACUGGCCACACAAAUUACUGACAUGGAUCAUAAGUCAGAUUCUGCCAGAAACGGAGUAGAAAAACUGUGGCUCACCCGGGACCCAGUCUUUCCCCAGGUUCCCCACAGAUGAGCUCUGAAUCUGUUAUAAUUGACUCACCACGACCUGCAUGUACACAUGGAAUUCCUCAUGGCAUCCUUAGAUCUUUUUUGCCACAUCCUUUUGCUCUGACUCGAAGAG